GCCUGGGUGGCUCAGUUGGUUGAGCAUCUGACUUUGGCUCAGGUCACGAUCUCAUGGUUCGUGAGUUCGAGCCCCACGUUGGGCU
rnacentral:tRNA from 1 species